rnacentral:rRNA from 1 species
CGUAGGGGCGAGCGUUGUCCGGAAUCAUUGGGCGUAAAGAGCUCGUAGGCGGUUCAGCAAGUCGGCUGUGAAAUUCCGAGGCUCAACCUCGGAACUGCAGUCGAUACUGCUGUGACUCGAGUCCGGUAGAGGAGAAUGGAAUUCCCGGUGUAGCGGUGAAAUGCGCAGAUAUCGGGAGGAACACCAGUAGCGAAGGCGGUUCUCUGGGCCGGUACUGACGCUGAGGAGCGAAAGCGUGGGGAGCAAACAGGAUU